GCCGGCAUGGCGUAAUGGUUUGAGGGUUAGACUCUGACUCUGGAGACCAGGGUUCGAAUCCCAGCUCGGCC